UACAGAGGUCUCGAGCGUUAGGCGGAAUCACUGGGCUUAAAGCGUGUGUAGGUGGAUGCCUAAGUACCUUGUGAAAUCCCACGGCUUAACCGUGGAACUGCUUGGUAUACUGGGUGUCUUGAGUCACUCAGGGGCGAGCGGAACAAAUGGUGGAGCGGUGAAAUGCGUAGAUAUCAUUUGGAACGCCAAUGGGUGAAAAACAG
rnacentral:rRNA from 1 species